rnacentral:rRNA from 1 species
CCUACGGGUGGCAGCAGUGAGGAAUAUUGGUCAAUGGCCGGAAGGCUGAACCAGCCAUGCCGCGUGAAGGACAGGGACCUAGGGGCGUGAAACUUCUUGUGGGCGGGAGCAAGAAUGGGCACGGGGGGCCAGACGAGAGUACCGUACGAAUAAGCAGCGGCGAACUCCGGGCCAGCAGCCGCGGUAAGACGGAGGGGGCAAGCGUUAUCCGGAUUUACUGGGUGUAAAGGGAGCGCAGGCGGCACGGCAAGCCUGAUGUGAAAGCCCGCGGCCCAUCCGCGGGACUGCCUUUGGAACUCCCGGGCUGGAGUGCCGGAGAGGUAGGCGGACUUCCUAGUGUAGCGGU